rnacentral:tRNA from 1 species
GGGGCUGUAGCUUAAUUGGUAGAGCAUCUGCCUGUCACGUAGAAGGGUGAGGGUUCAAGUCCCUUCGGUCCCG